GCCGAUGCAAUGAUAAGGACAUGAGUAUUUCUUAACGGUUUACAGAGAGGGAAGGCUAGGCUGGGAACUUCCUAAUACAAGAGAAUUACUUACCACCUUUGAGCAGUAUUGAUGAACCAAUAGUAAUUAAUACCGUAGCUGCUACGAUACAGCAAAACGAGCCAUCACUUAUUACAAAAGUGGUGGGAAGUUGGGUGGAACCACGAGAUCAAACACACUCGUCCCUUUU
rnacentral:ncRNA from 1 species